rnacentral:rRNA from 1 species
CCUACGGAGUGGCUGCAGUGGGGAAUAUUGGACAAUGGGCGAAAGCCUGAUCCAGCCAUGCCGCGUGUGUGAAGAAGGCCUUCGGGUUGUAAAGCACUUUCAGUGGGGAAGAAAGCCUUGGGGCUAAUACCCUCGAGGAAGGACAUCACCCACAGAAGAAGCACCGGCUAACUCCGUGCCAGCAGCCGCGGUAAUACGGAGGGUGCGAGCGUUAAUCGGAAUUACUGGGCGUAAAGCGCGCGUAGGCGGUCUGAUAAGCCGGUUGUGAAAGCCCCGGGCUCAACCUGGGAACGGCAUCCGGAACUGUCAGGCUAGAGUGCAGGAGAGGAAGGUAGAAUUCCCGGUGUAGCGGUGAAAUGCGUAGAGAUCGGGAGGAAUACCAGUGGCGAAGGCGGCCUUCUGGACUGACACUGACGCUGAGGUGCGAAAGCGUGGGUAGCAAACAGGAUUAGAUACCCCUGUAGUC